UGAGAGAGGGUAUCGGAGGUGCGGGUUGUUGCUGCCGUAGAGGUAAGUUGUUUCUUUUGUGAAUGGGGUUUGCGUGGUUUAAAAUCAAAGAAGGGGACCAAGGAACAUUGGUUCUCUGAAGAAUGUUGUUUUGAUUUUGAUGGUACUUUGUUGCAGUGAUUUGUGCUUUAUAAUUUAAGAACAAAGAAGUUUGUAGAUGUGCUAACUUCUGACUUAGACUUACUUCAUUAGGAUUUGCUCUAGUGUAUCAAAUUGUAUGUUGUAGUGAUUGGCCUUAGC
rnacentral:lncRNA from 1 species